UCCUGAUUUUCUGCUCCUAAUGGCAUCUACACUCAAAAGGGGUAUCAUCACAGAAACGUUUGUGCCCCUUGUGGGUUUCCUUUCAUCCAGAACAAGAAGAAAAAGUGAAGCCUUUUCUUUUUAGAA